UGGAGAUCGACCAGAUCAGGUGU
rnacentral:misc_RNA from 1 species